rnacentral:rRNA from 1 species
ACGGUCCUAAGGUAGCGAAAUUCCUUGUCAGGUAAGUUCUGACCCGCACGAAAGGCGUAACGAUUUGGGCGCUGUCUCAGCUGUAGACUCGGUGAAGUCUUAGUACCUGUGAAGAUGCAGGUUACCCGCGACUAGACGGAAAGACCCCAUGGAGCUUCACUGCAGGUUGAUAUUGGGAUUUGAUGCAGCAUGUACAGGAUAGGUAGGAGGCAAAGAGAUGGAUACGCCAGUAUUCAAGGAGCCGCUGUUGGGAUACUACCCCUGUUGUAUUGGAUUUCUAACCGGACGACGUAGAACCGUUGACGGGACAGUGUCAGUCGGGCAGUUUGACUGGGGCGGUCGCCUCCCAAAGAGUAACGGAGGCGCCCAAAGAUACCCUCAGCUUGGAUGGAAACCAAGCGCAGAGUGCAAAGGCAAAAGGGUGUUUGACUGCGAGACCCACAAGUCGAGCAGGGACGAAAGUCGGGCUUAGUGAUCCGGCGGUGCUGAAUGGAAAGGCCGUCGCUCAACGGAUAAAAGCUACCCUGGGGAUAACAGGCUGAUCUCCCCCAAGAGUCCACAUCGACGGGGAGGUUUGGCACCUCGAUGUCGGCUCAUCGCAUCCUGGGGCUGUAUUCGGUCCCAAGGGUUUGGCUGUUCGCCAAUUAAAGCGGUACGCGAGCUGGGUUCAGAACGUCGUGAGACAGUUCGGUCCCUAUCUGUCGUGGGCGUAGGAUAUUUGAAAGGAGCUGUCCCUAGUACGAGAGGACCGGGAUGGACGCACCUCUGGUGAACCAGUUGUCACGCCAGUGGCACGGCUGGGCAGCUAAGUGCGGAACGGAUAAACGCUGAAAGCAUCUAAGCGUGAAGCCGACCUUAAGAUAAGAUAUCCGUUCUUCGGAAUAAGACCCCUUGUAGACUACGAGGUUGAUAGGCUUAAAGUGUAAGCAUGGUGACAUGUUUAGCUUGCAAGUACUAAUCGGUCGAUUGCUUUUCCUU